UUAUCCUGUGUUUGUUUGGAAAGUGUAGUACACAUUUUGUUUCUAUCCUACUUGCAAAUUGGGGAAAGGAAAAAUCUACAAAGAACUUGAAAGGUGCUAUUUUAGUAAACACUUCAGAAGUUUCAGAAGUAAAUUCCCUCUAUUUCCUGCAGGAUUUCCAUUGUACACUUUAGCUUUGAAGAAAAACCAAUCUUUCAUGUCUUAGAAUAUUUGAUUUAUAUGUUAUCUACUGAGUGAUCUUCUUCUUGGGAAGAACUCACUAGAGAGGAUGUUUUGCUCAGGUUCACCUCUCCCUUAAUGAAGUUCAUACCAGCGAAGUGAAAUUGAAGUCUGAAGAACAGGAAGUGAAAUCGAAGUCUGAAGAAACAGCCUGUGCAGAAAAAAAAAUGCUCAGCUUAAGAUCCACAAGAAUCAGGAAGCUGGGACUGAAAGAAUGGGAGCAGGUGGAAGGGGAGAAGCAGCUGUCAGCUGCAGAAGAGAAAGUAAAAUUAGCUGCAGAAGAGCUACCUAGCUACUGAACUACAAGGGAGUUCAGCUUCUACCAGCAGCUCACACGAAGCCCAUUGUAUUACUUUGAAACAUUGUACGGCGUUUAGAGCCAAGUAGCACACAAAUAUACACAAACAUUCAGGAGACAUGUAUUCGUAUAGAGACUUCAAAAGAAAUGUGACAUUUUCCAGAUGCUAAGUUAAAAAUAUGAAUCGAAACAAGUCACUAAAGAUUUCCUGAUCCCUGAUGCUGGCCAGACUAUGUGGAAAUGUGGUUCCCGAACAUGUUUCUGGAGGUGCUGGAAAUGAUUACAAACCUCAGGAAGCAGUUUGGUGGAGGACGAAUCACAUCGACAAGUAUGACCAUCCCAUUUUAGAGACCCACUUGUUGUAACCAUGAGGAAAACAAUAAGGAUACAAGGAAAAGAAGAUUUGAACUUUAUUUUUAUUGUUAUCUUUUAAUGUUUGUUUAUUUUUGGGAGAGAGAGGUAGAGUGCGAGUGGGGAGGGGCAGAGAAAGAGAGAGGGAGACACAGAAUCUUAAGCAGGCUCCAGGCUCUGAGCUGUCAGCACAGAGCCCAACAUGGGGCUCCAACUCAUGGACCUCGAGAUAAUGACCUGAGCUGAAGUCCGACGCUUUACCGACUGAGCCACCCAGGUGCCCCAUGAACUUUAUGAUGAAAGAUCCUCAUUGCAGGAUUAGGGAGCUGUCACCACGGAUAAGGAGACCGUGUCAACGUGGAGCCCCACAGGCAUUAAAUAAUAAAUCCAAGAUGGUGUAGCAAUGGCUUUGAGCUUUCUGUACUCUCCGCCUCAUGUGAAAUGUGUCUUAUAUGAUUGGGCCGUGUGCAUGAGAGAUCAGUUCUUAUAAUGGGAAUCUGGGCCAAUUAACAUCACCCUCAACAUUGUGCUUCAUCUGGUGAAAGUGACUGCGCUCCCAGGAGAAGAGUAGAAGGAACACGAGAACAGCUGCAGCAGUCAGAGCUCACCUUCGGACACCUGGUAGGCUGCACUCUGCCCAGUAGUUCCUGAGUGCUUCAGCACUUAAUGCAGAUGAUCGUAGCAGGCCACUGAAUCUCUCCACAUGGGUUUUUAUUGAUGUGCUGACUCUUUCCGAUUGCUCUUUGUGAGAAGGUGGCUCUGGACAACUGGGUUAGAAUGUUUUUCUCUCCUCCUCUUGUGCACACCUUGCCACAGCUGGAUGUGGAUGUGUUUCUCUCUCCCAGCUCAGGGCUCGUGAUCUGGAGAGGGUGGUGGUGGAGCAGAGCAGGGAGGUCACCUACUCGAAAUGCAGGUGCAGGACUUUGACGUAUUUCUUUCAAGGGUGCUGUGAGGUUUUUAAAAAGGCGAAACUGUUCGGUGUCCAGUGGAGGCCUGGGUGUGAUAACUCUUAGCGAAACUGAUUCAUCUCGAUCUUCAAGACUAGAAGUCAUCCAAAGACAGAGGCUUCCAGAGGAAUUCAGGAGGCACAAACCAAUGGCAAGAGGACCUGACAGGGAGAUCCCUCCAUGGAGAGGUCAACGUAGCUGCCAGAGCAUUUCCUUCUUUCCCAGAAGUGCCCUCCAUGGGGCACUAUCCCAUGGGCGCCCUUUAUCACCAUUCAUGGGCUCUGGGCCAACCCCAUCUUCUCCACCCUGGUGGCCUCUGGGACCUCACCCUCCACCUCCACCUCCACGUCCACCUCCACCGCCACCGCCACCGCCACCUCCACCUCCACCUCCACCUCCACCUCCACGUCCACCUCCACGUCCACCUCCAG